UACGUAGGGUGCGAGCUUUAAUCGGAAUUAUUGGGCGUAAAGCGCGCGCAGGCGGUCUUUUAAGUCUGAUGUGAAAGCCCACGGCUCAACCGUGGAGGGUCAUUGGAAACUGGGAGACUUGAGUGCAGAAGAGAAGAGUGGAAUUCCACGUGUAGCGGUGAAAUGCGUAGAGAUGUGGAGGAACACCAGUGGCGAAGGCGACUCUUUGGUCUGUAACUGACGCUGAGGCGCUAAAGCGUGGGGAGCAAACAGG
rnacentral:rRNA from 1 species